rnacentral:rRNA from 1 species
CAUAUUAUUAGAUACAUUGUAGCGGUAGAGGAGCAUUCUGUAGUAGGGUGAAGUAUGAUCGAAAGGACAUAUGGACGAGGCAGAAGAGAGAAUGCUGGAAUAAGUAGCGAGAGCAAAGUGAGAAUCUUUGCCGUCGAAAGUCUAAGGUUUCCUGGGGAAGGUUCGUCCGCCCAGGGUAAGUCGGGACCUAAGGUGAGGCCAAGGAGGCGUAGCCGAUGGAUAGCAGGUAUAAAAUUCCUGCACUACCGAAAUACUUAAAAACGAUAAGGGACGCAGGAGAGGAAGGAAAUCCGGGAAGAGGAAAAACCGGAGCCGAAAGGCAUAGUGAAAAUUUAAAGUAACGAAGUUCCAAGAAUCACACUGACGAGAAAAGCUUAUUGACAUUGUAUUAAGGUACCCGUACCGCAAACCGACACAGGUAGAUGAGGAGAGGAUCCUAAGACGAGCGAGAGAAGUACUGUUAAGGAACUCGGCAAACUAACCCCGUAACUUAGGGAGAAGGGGUACCUAUGUAAAAGUAGGUCGCAGAGAAGAGUCCCAAGCAACUGUUUAACAAAAACACAGGUUUCUGCUAAAUCGAAAGAUGAAGUAUAGGAGCUGACGCCUGCCCAGUGCUGGAAGGUUAAGGGGAAAUGUUAGAGUAAUCGAAGCAUAGAACUAAAGCCCCAGUGAACGGCGGCCGUAACUAUAACGGUCCUAAGGUAGCGAAAUUCCUUGUCAGGUAAGUUCUGACCCGCACGAAAGGCGUAAUGAUUUGGGCACUGUCUCGACAAUGUACCCGGCGAAAUUGUAGUACUAGUGAAGAUGCUAGUUACCUGCGACAAGACAGAAAGACCCCAUGGAGCUUUACUGUAGCUUGAUAUUGGGUUUCGGUAAUUUAUGUACAGGAUAGGUGGGAGACUAUGAAGCAAGAGCGUCAGCUUUUGUGGAGUCACCCUUGGGAUACCACCCUUAAAUUAUUGGAAUUCUAACCUGUGAUCAUGAACUGGUCAGGGGACAAUGUCAGGCGGGCAGUUUGACUGGGGCGGUCGCCUCCUAAAGAGUAACGGAGGCGCCCAAAGGUUUCCUCAACCCGGACAGAAAUCGGGUGAAAGAGUGCAAAGGCAGAAGGAAGCUUAACUGAAAGACAGACAUGUCGAGCAGAUACGAAAGUAGGGCUUAGUGAUCCGGUGGAAUUGAAUGGAAAAGCCAUCGCUCAACGGACAAAAGUUACCCUGGGGAUAACAGGCUUAUCUCCCCCAAGAGUUCACAUCGACGGGGAGGUUUGGCACCUCGAUGUCGGCUCAUCGCAUCCUGGAGCUGUAGUCGGUUCCAAGGGUUGGGCUGUUCGCCCAUUAAAGCGGUACGCGAGCUGGGUUCAGAACGUCGUGAGACAGUUCGGUCCUUAUCUGUCGCAGGCGCAGGAUAUUUGAAGGGAGUUGUCCUUAGUACGAGAGGACCAGGAUGAACAUACCGAUGGUGCAACAGUUGUCACACCAGUGGCAUAGCUGUGUAGCUAAGUAUGGAAGGGAUAAACGCUGAAAGCAUCUAAGUGUGAAGCCCACCCUAAGAUAAGAUAUCCCACAACGUUAAGUUGGUAAGAUACCAGGAAGACUAACUGGUUGAUAGGUUGGAGGUGUAAGUGCAGUAAUGCAUUAAGCUGACCAAUACUAAUAUAUCGAGGGCUUAACCA